UCUCUCUCUCUCUCUCUCUCUCAGACCCCACUUGGAAUAUGCGGUACAGUUUUGGUCUCCCCACCAUGCAAAGGAUAUUGCUAAAUUAGAAGGUGUUCAGCGUCGGGCAACGAAAAUGAUCCCUUCCUUGCGCAACAAAUCCUACGAAGAAAGGCUUUCUUCCCUUAACAUGUUCUCUCUUGAGAAACGUCGCCUCCGAGGAAAACUGAUCGAAUGUUUUAAAAUACUUAAUGGUUUCACGAAUGUAGACAGAUCAACAUUGUUUAUGAUCGAUGACACUUUGCGCACGAGGAACAAUGGCGUAAAACUCAGAUGUAGACAAGUAAAUUCAGACUGCACCAAAUUUUUCUUCACCAACGUUAUAGUGCGAGAAUGGAAUAAGCUUCCACCAUCAGUGGUCCAGUGUAACACGAUUGACUCCUUCAAAAAUAAGCUCGACCGUCACUUCCUUCAACUUAAUAUCAACUAGAGUAGAAAUGCAACGUUUUGGAGUCUUCUGAUUAAUGUAAAAUCACUUAGGUUUAAGGACAGACCACCAAGUCUGGACCAUGGGGUCUGUGUGGUCUGAUUUUCUAUGUAAAUCUAUGUAAAUCUAUGUAAAUCUCUCUCUCUCUCUCUCUCUCUCUCUCUCUCUCUCUCUCUCUCUCUCUCUCUCUCUCUCUCU